UAAUUUCACUCAGGCACUUUCUCGGUCGCCUACGCUGGGUCCUUCUUUCCUCCUGCAGGACUUUUCUGGUUGAGUGUCCACGUGGAGAUGAUCAAGUGAAAAUGAGUGUCAUCAUCCGCUCUUAAAGUGGCAUAGACGGGCUCAUUGUGUAGCAUGUGGCAUUAACAUGAAAGCAGCAGGAAAUGGCUGAUGUACCAUGUCACAUGGUGACACCAUGAGGCCCAGGAGCAACUGUGUGCUUUUGAACUCCAGGUGAGCAGACCUGCAGUAAAAUACUGCAACAGCAACAUGGGCAGGGUUACAUGACACUUGGGUUUAUAUUCACCAAGGAGUGAUCCUUUCAAGUGGAGGUAAAUUACCCAGCAUUCAAGGACUAGUGGUGUGUGAGAUGGUGUUUUCUGCAAAUGUGAAUCUUAUAAAUAAAACCUUCUGGUUAACAGUG